UCACACGUCAGAGCAGCGGUUUUGGAGCAUGCGCACACGCAUUAUCCGAUUAAUAAGUCCGGUUCAACGUAUACAUGCUGGAGAAAGUUGAAUUCCAAUCGCAUCAUCUGGGUGAAUUGGAUAAUGAGAACUGAGAGAAACGUGUUUACAUGCACUUAAGUUCUCCUGUUAUAGUCCAACUAAGGCAAUAAUUAGUUUUUUUCACGUGCAUGUAAGCACACUGACUAAGUUUUGAGAUAUUUUGAGAACCGGCUUCAUCUCCUCCUCCUGAGCGAAAAUUGUGAUAUUCAAUUUUCUUUUGAGGAGCAUUCUAUCUUGUUUUAUCUUGUCUGUACAUCACUCUCUCGCUGAGGACCCAGCCGACCCCCUCGGAGCUCCAUGUUUGACUGUAACAAAUUCAACAACGGGAGAUAAUGAGGACGACUCUUCCCUUGGGAAUUCCACUGUGACUCAGGCGCCGCACGUUACGACUCUGUGAGCGGCAGCAGGUGGUGGAGAGGAAACCCUUCUCUUUUUCCUGCUGCUGAUGCUACUGAUGAGCUCUCAACUGCUGUGGAAAAGGUCACCGGUGUGAUCCGGAUGAAACUGCAGGGGCUGCCAGUUAUACAGCAAAAUGUCAGGUUUUGUUCAGGACACUGGAUCAAAGACACCCGACACACUUCUCCUCCGGCUCACAUCAGUGAAUGAACUUUUAGAUUUUCUUUUUGAUAUGGUGAAAAAAAAAAAAAAAAAAAAAAACAAACACUUCUCCCUGAUGUGAUUUGACGGCUUGAACAGCGAGAAAACAAAAGACACAGCGAGUCCAAAUGAAACAAAAAAAAAAAGCCUCGCUGCUUUUCAAUAAAUCACGUCAGAUCAAACGGCGAAGCCUCGCCCGAGACAGACAUAUUACAACAGAACCGGGUGCUUCUUUUUUCAAACAAUGUGGAAACGCUGAAAGGCCGGGGGAGAAGGAAUGAACAGUCCGCUCUCAAAUAAAGUCACAGGACGGGAAAAACACUGUGAGUGUGACUUCUGUUUUCUAUUAUUUGUGAAGUGAAUCGCAAUCAGAUUUGCAGCCGCUGAGUUAAAUCCUGUUGAAAGGUCAGCAGCCUGCAUAGCUGCAAGCAAGAAAUUUCUAUUUGAACAAACCGUGAUGUGUCUCUGAACUAACACGGACCAGGAUGUAACCUUCUAAUCCAAACGGCGACUUCACAGACGAGGAAAGUGAAGGUAUUUUUACUAAAGACGGGACAUAUUCUACCCUGAAAAGCCAGCCUGAAGUUCCUUCUCUCACAAAAAUAGUGAGGGAUUUUAGGUCUGGAUUCUCUCUGUUGGGAACUGAUUGUGUUCCAGCAAAGACCUGAGCUGAUUUUGUUUACAAGAAAGUUGCUGCUGUUGGAGAAUGAAGAUACUGACGGCAAAACAGCUUGAAAUCAAUUUGUCAAUAACCAGUCACAUAAUCUGUUGCUCUGAUUGGUUAUGGGACUGUACUCUCAUGUGCAGAUGUACCAGUUUCAAGAAAGUGAGAAGAAACUGGAGACAUUAACAGAAAGCAAGGACAUGUUUAGAAAAGCGACAACAUGUUUUAGAAACUGAGGACGUCUUUUGGAAGGUGCUAUCCGUACUUUACGAAAACCUCUUUCCUUGUAACGUCUCUGCCUGGUCCCCGCAAAGAUAGGAUAAAAGGAAACACACGGUCCCUCGGGAUGAAGCACAAAAUGCAUUUUUCUCGCGUCUGGUUUUAAGCUGAGGACAAGUGAAAAGUAAAAUCCCCGAGGAGCCUGCAAGCUGAAUGUUGGCAGGAAGGGUGUGAGGGAGCAGUGAAGCGCAUCACAAGGUGAGCCUGUCUCAUACGUUUACAGUGUGUUCUUCUAAUUAACUUUGUCCAACAUGUUUUGACAGGAGACAAAGACGGCUGCCUGGAUUAUCUUCGCUGUGACAUUUAUAUUGCGAGACAGCGGCGGGGAGGUGAUGUGGAACAGGAAUCUUCUACUAUGCGUGACCCCGAGCACAAUCACUAAAGAACGUUGCACAGAUAUUUACCGCAGCGUUUGUUAGAAAUGCUUCGACUUAGAAAUAUAAUGACCCAUUUAAAGUCUUAAAGUUACAGAAAACUCAGACUCUGGGACAUUUUUGCAAAACUGAAGUCACUGUCCAAGUGUGAGGACAGAUUUUCUUUCUGUCAGAUUUUGGGCUAAUAAAUUGAGACCACUAGGAGACAGGAAGGAGACUAUAGUAGACUAGUAGAAGAGAGGAAGGAGACUAUAGUAGACCAGAAGGAGACUAAAGUUGACCACUACGGGACAAGAAGGACACUAUAGGAGACAGGAAGGUGACUAAAGUAGACCAGAAGGAGACUGUACUAGACCACUAGGAGACAGGAAGGUGACUAAAGUAGACCAGAAGGAGACUGUAGUAGACCACUAGGAGACAGGAAGAAGACUAUAGUAGACCACUAGGAGACUAUGGUAGACGGGAAGGAGACUGUAGUAGACCACUAGGAGACAGGAAGGAGACUAUAGUAUAUCAGAAGGAGACUGUAGUAGACCACUAGAAGACCAGAAGGAGACUGUAGUAGACCAGAAGGAGACUAUAGUAGACCAGAAGGAGACAGGAAGGAGACUAUAGUAGACCAGAAGGAGACUAUAGUAGACCAUUAGGAAACAGGAAGGAGACUAUAGUAGACCUGUAGGAGACAGGAAUGAGACUAUAGUAGACCAGAAGGAAACAGGAAGGAGACCAGAAGGAGACUGUAGUAGACCAGAAGGAGACAGGAAGGAGACUAUAGUAGACCAGUAGGACACUAUAGUAGACCAUUAGGAAACAGGAAGGAGACUAUAGUAGACCAGAAGGAGACUGUAGUAGACCAGAAGGAGACAGGAAGGAGACUAUAGUAGACCAGAAGGAGACUAUAGUAGACCAUUAGGAAACAGGAAGGAGACUAUAGUAGACCUGUAGGAGACAGGAAUGAGACUAUAGUAGACCAGAAGGAAACAGGAAGGAGACCAGAAGGAGACUGUAGUAGACCAGAAGGAGACAGGAAGGAGACUAUAGUAGACCAGUAGGACACUAUAGUAGACCAUUAGGAAACAGGAAGGAGACUAUAGUAGACCAGAAGGAGACUGUAGUAGACCAGAAGGAGACAGGAAGGAGACUAUAGUAGAUCAGUAGGACACUAUAGUAAACCAGUAGGAGACAGGAAGGGGUUCAGGAGUCUUGUCUCACGUUCUGCCACAUCCUUCUCCUCCUCCAGAGUCCUUGUGAUUAUGGAGAUGCUCCAGUACUAGAAGCUCAUUCAUCAUCAGAGGGAGGGAAAAGCCACAAGCAGUAAACCCCACUCGACUUUAUGGAAACAAACGAGUCCGUUCCUCCACAGGACGUUUUUGAUCAGGCUGCAGGCCAAUGCCAGCUGACGGCUGUUAGCACCGAGCGUCUGAACAGUGACAAGAAGAUCACUUCACCUCAUGAGUCCUGCUCUCAGAUUCCACUCAGCAGGUUCCUGCUCUGACGGCUGAAUUAAUGAAGGAUGACAACUGAGCUUCAUGUCUGAAUGUCAACGUGUCCCCGCGUCUGAUUAAUGGCUGCUCCUGGCAGCAGGUGUAGUUUGACAUAGGGGUCGGACAGACCGUUGAAGUCCAUCGGCUUGAGACCCUGAAGACCAAAAACAGGAGAGCAGGUGAGACCGGUGACGUUUUCCUGCCUGAUCCCUCUCCCCGUCUGAACUAGUCAUGUUUUUAUCAUCACUUUUUGCUGUUAUUUGAUUUAUGAGAAGUUUUACUUGAGACUUUAAAGAGUUGAAGCAAUGAGGACUUUUUGCUCCUUCUAUUGGAUCAAGCUUUGUAGUUCAGUAGGUUUUAAUACAAAAAAAAUAUAUACAUAUACAUUAAAAGUGACUUUCUUAUACUUUCAUGGAGAUUAUAACGUGUAAUUUGUCUUUACAUUUACAAACGUCUUCUUCAGUUUAAACCACAAAGCAUUUAAUCUUUUUUUAUGUAUUAACAUAAAUGUGUGAGACACCGUUCCAGUGUGUCAGGUGAAUAAAAUCGCAACCGUUUUUUCCCCACGUGUCCGUGUGCGAAGCGCCUGAUUUGAGUCUUGACCUCGUCAGCAGGAGCCGAUCAUCAUGAGAAAUUGCCGCUAAAUAUCUUUCAACAGCUUUGACAUUUGCAGCGACGGCAGGAAGAUAGAUUUCCCCCCCACCCCUGCAUAUUUUUAGCCCUCCCACCACCACCACCAUUUUUAAUGAGCCUGAGGACGAUGAAGACGCUGACCUUCUAGACGUGCCUGUA